GCUAGCGACAGGCUUAACACAUGCAAGUCGAGGGGCAGCGGGGGUAGCGAUACCCGCCGGCGACCGGCGCACGGGUGAGUAACGCGUAUGCAACUUGCCUAUCAGAGGGGGAUAACCCGGCGAAAGUCGGACUAAUACCGCAUGAAGCAGGGGCCCCGCAUGGGGAUAUUUGCUAAAGAUUCAUCGCUGAUAGAUAGGCAUGCGUUCCAUUAGGCAGUUGGCGGGGUAACGGCCCACCAAACCGACGAUGGAUAGGGGUUCUGAGAGGAAGGUCCCCCACAUUGGUACUGAGACACGGACCAAACUCCUACGGGAGGCAGCAGUGAGGAAUAUUGGUCAAUGGCCGAGAGGCUGAACCAGCCAAGUCGCGUGAGGGAUGAAGGUUCUAUGGAUCGUAAACCUCUUUUAUAAGGGAAUAAAGUGCGGGACGUGUCCCGUUUUGUAUGUACCUUAUGAAUAAGGAUCGGCUAACUCCGUGCCAGCAGCCGCGGUAAUACGGAGGAUCCGAGCGUUAUCCGGAUUUAUUGGGUUUAAAGGGUGCGUAGGCGGCCUUUUAAGUCAGCGGUGAAAGUCUGUGGCUCAACCAUAGAAUUGCCGUUGAAACUGGGGGGCUUGAGUAUGUUUGAGGCAGGCGGAAUGCGUGGUGUAGCGGUGAAAUGCAUAGAUAUCACGCAGAACCCCGAUUGCGAAGGCAGCCUGCCAAGCCAUUACUGACGCUGAUGCACGAAAGCGUGGGGAUCAAACAGGAUUAGAUACCCUGGUAGUCCACGCAGUAAACGAUGAUCACUAGCUGUUUGCGAUACACUGUAAGCGGCACAGCGAAAGCGUUAAGUGAUCCACCUGGGGAGUACGCCGGCAACGGUGAAACUCAAAGGAAUUGACGGGGGCCCGCACAAGCGGAGGAACAUGUGGUUUAAUUCGAUGAUACGCGAGGAACCUUACCCGGGUUUGAACGCAUUCGGACCGAGGUGGAAACACCUUUUCUAGCAAUAGCCGUUUGCGAGGUGCUGCAUGGUUGUCGUCAGCUCGUGCCGUGAGGUGUCGGCUUAAGUGCCAUAACGAGCGCAACCCUUGCCACUAGUUACUAACAGGUAAAGCUGAGGACUCUGGUGGGACUGCCAGCGUAAGCUGCGAGGAAGGCGGGGAUGACGUCAAAUCAGCACGGCCCUUACAUCCGGGGCGACACACGUGUUACAAUGGCGUGGACAAAGGGAAGCCACCUGGCGACAGGGAGCGAAUCCCCAAACCACGUCUCAGUUCGGAUCGGAGUCUGCAACCCGACUCCGUGAAGCUGGAUUCGCUAGUAAUCGCGCAUCAGCCAUGGCGCGGUGAAUACGUUCCCGGGCCUUGUACACACCGCCCGUCAAGCCAUGGGAGCCGGGGGUACCUGAAGUCCGUAACCGCGAGGAUCGGCCUAGGGUAAAACUGGUGAAUGG
rnacentral:rRNA from 1 species